GUGGGGAAUAUUGGACAAUGGGCGAAAGCCUGAUCCAGCCAUGCCGCGUGUGUGAAGAAGGUCUUCGGAUUGUAAAGCACUUUAAGUUGGGAGGAAGGGCAUUAACCUAAUACGUUAGUGUUUUGACGUUACCGACAGAAUAAGCACCGGCUAACUUCGUGCCAGCAGCCGCGGUAAUACGAAGGGUGCAAGCGUUAAUCGGAAUUACUGGGCGUAAAGCGCGCGUAGGUGGUUCGUUAAGUUGGAUGUGAAAGCCCCGGGCUCAACCUGGGAACUGCAUCCAAAACUGGCGAGCUAGAGUACGGUAGAGGGUGGUGGAAUUUCCUGUGUAGCGGUGAAAUGCGUAGAUAUAGGAAGGAACACCAGUGGCGAAGGCGACUACCUGGACUGAUACUGACACUGAGGUGCGAAAGCGUGGGGAGCAAACAGGAUUAGAUACCCCGGUAGUCC
rnacentral:rRNA from 1 species